CUAGCAACAAUCAAAAUGGCAGCAGAUCAUAUACACAAAUAUAGAUUAGGGAAUCACGAGAUUCCUAAAUUAUUGUAAUUAUUAAAAAUCUACUUAAAUCAAGAUCAAUACGCCCCCUAACUGUUGUAGAGUUAGUGUCGGAACUUAGUAGAGAGACAAAACUUUGAUCUACUAGAUUCCAAAAUCAAUUUCCCCAACCCUGAUGAAAAUAGAUUAGGAUUCCGAAAAAGAAUCAGGACUCGUAAAAGUGUUGGAAUUGAACCUUUUGAUUAAACCUGCAGAAGAAGAAGAAGAUGAUACAGUAAAUGAGGAUUUAAGUGGGAAGACACGUGGAUCGUGGAGAUCUAAAGAAGAAGCAACGGUCAAGAUUAAAUAAGCAGAAGUGUUUUGGGGUUAAAGAGAAGUUGAAGGUCUCUUACGGAUUCAUUGAUAAAAAUUGUAAAAGUUUGUUAUCUUCUCCUUGAAUCUCUUCUUUUGUUAGGUUCUCAUCUAGAGACCUAGAGAUGAUGAUCGAAGCUGCGUUUCAUGAACGUUGUUUUGGUUAACUUUAGAAUUGAAGUGUUGAUUGAUCGAUCGGUGAAGAAAGCUUUAUCAGAAGAAGCUUCGGGGAGAAGAAGAAGUGCUCAUAGAGCAAAGGCAAAGGAAAAAGAAGAAGAAGUCGUGACAAGGUCAACGACACAUAGAGAAGAAGGAGCAAAGUCAACAAGAAGAAAGGUGUUGGGCUUUGUGUGGUUUGGUCCUAAGAAGACUAAUGGGCUACGUUUUUGGUUAAGGCCCAAAGUAAAGGAAGUGUGUUUUGUUUGUUAAGUGCUAGCUAAAGACUAGAGUUGUUGGUUAACCUUGCUUGUGAGCUUGGUUAUACCCUAGAGUAAUGAUGUCUAAAAGUAAGGUUUAAGUAGAAGUAUGGUGCAAGUGUGUGUACUAAGUAGAGGUAAACUAAUAUAAGUAUGUGUGUGUAUGUCUUGUAAAAAGUUAUCCUUUGAUCCAAUAUUAUCAAUGUAGACAUUAAAAGUUCAUAAACGUGUUCUUGUUUCUCAAAACAAAACAGAGAGAAACUGAGAGUUAAGGUGGUGAAGAGAACACCACAUCAAAAGUUCAACAAAAAGUCUAUGCAUCUCUUUACAUCUAAUAUACUUAUUAGUAUGUCUUCAUAUUAUGCACUGUUGGAGGAGAUAAAAACAAUGUUUUUACUAUAUUUGAAACUUGUUAGUUAUAUAAUACACAAAAUAAAACAGUAAUGGUAAUGUAAGUCUUAUGUUCAACGUUUGCACUAGUGGAAUAUUUUACUUGGCUGGUAUGGGUGAGAAGUGAAAAGAGAUAAAAUAUAUACAUUGGUUGGUUUGAAAUUGUAUGACCUGCUCAUAACGUACCAAAUAUAAAUUUAAUUUCUAUUUUGCGUCAAUUAUUGUUGCAAGAAUGAAUACGUUAUUCAAACUUUG
rnacentral:lncRNA from 1 species